AAUUUGCAGAGGAUGCUUCUGGCGCGGCGCCGUCCGAGUUCCCUGGAACGGGACGCCACAGAGGGUGAGAGCCCCGUCUGGUCGGACGCCUAGCCUGUGUGAAGCUCCUUCGACGAGUCGAGUAGUUUGGGAAUGCUGCUCAAAAUGGGAGGUAUAUGUCUUCUAAAGCUAAAUACCGGCCAGAGACCGAUAGCGCACAAGUAGAGUGAUCGAAAGAUGAAAAGCACUUUGAAAAGAGGGUUAAACAGUACGUGAAAUUGUUGAAAGGGAAGCGCUCGUGACCAGACUCGGCCCCGGCGGAUCAUCCGGCGUUCUUCGCCGGUGCACUCCGCCGGGCGCCGGGCCAGCAUCGGUUCGCGGCGGGGGACAAAAGCGCCGGGAACGUGGCUCCCUCGGGAGUGUUAUAGCCCGGCGCACAAUACCCCGCGGCGGACCGAGGUUCGCGCAUUCGCAAGGAUGCUGGCGUAAUGGUCACCAGCGACCCGUCUUGAAACACGGACCAAGGAGUCGUCCUCGUAUGCGAGUGUUCGGGUGUCAAACCCCUACGCGUAAUGAAAGUGAACGCAGGUGAGAGCUUCGGCGCAUCAUCGACCGAUCCUGAUGUUCUCGGAUGGAUUUGAGUAAGAGCAUACGGGGCCGGACCCGAAAGAAGGUGAACUAUGCCUGUGUAGGGUGAAGCCAGAGGAAACUCU
rnacentral:rRNA from 1 species